AUACAUCUUGAGCGAUGGCCACCUCAAUCAGUUAUGCAGUGUUCAUUGCUUCCAUGCUCUUAUGUCUCUCACGUCAUCUCCAGCACCAUUUGCAAAUGCAAGAGCAUCUCAAUUAGUUAGGAUUGUUUGCAAGCAAACCCAAGAACAAUUCGGCUACAACUAUAGGCAGUGCGUAAAAUCUCUCUGGAAAGAUAUUACAAUUAGAUCGGCAACUAAUCUCAAAGAUCUUGACAUAGCCGUUCUUAAAUUAGCAGCAGCAAAUGCAGCACAAACCAAAGCUACGUUUGAAAAAGCUUUAAAACGCCACCGACAAGAAUGCUAAUGGCACGACAGCUAUAAAGCAAUGUGUAGAUUCCUAUGAUUUUGCGUUAGGAGCGUUUCGUUUUCGCAGUGCGAGGGGUCAAUGACGGUGACAAAUCGGUCACCGAAAUCCUCACACAGGCCCAAGAUGACCUUGUUCGUUGCCAAAGAGCAUUGGCCUCUGUUGAAGUUCCGCUUCCUAUGCCAGUAUCGACGACGAACUUUUGGGUCAUGUUAUAUAGGGAUGUUGCAUUCCUUGUUUCUUCCCAGUUAUUCAAUAUCUAGAAAAAGAUAUGAGAAUAGUGUAUUGAAAUUUGAAAAUACACGCCUACCAAAGAAAUGUAUCUGUGAUUACUAUAAAUAAAAAGGAUAGAAAUUUGAAGAAAUGAAAAAAAUUUGAUAUGAAUAACGAAUAUCAACCAUUUAUUGUCAUUGUUGUGUUCCUCUUUAGUUUGGAUAUCUUAUCCGGCCUUCACUUUACUAUGCAUUGGCUUUAAGCGAAGUUGAAAUUAUGGUACAUGUAUUUUCAUUUAAAACUGACAUCCCCGUAUCAGUCCAAAUACAGGCUCUAACUUAUUUCAUUCACCAUUCGAUUCAUUCAACUUGUGUUUCUUUAUUCAAUGGGUGGGGAGAUUUGAACUUGAAACUUUUUUAAGCAUUUAGAAGACGACAACUAAUGCGCAUCCAAUUUUUUCCUCUAUGCACCCAUGUCUGUCUUAUAGCCCACAUUGUUUUAUGACCUUUCCUUAGACAAUUCGAAAAUAAUUAAAUAGUCUUCUAAGACUGCCUCCUUUGACUAAUGACAUUCUUUCCAAGUAUGCAAAAUCCUCGAUCAUGCUUCCUUGCUCUUUUGUUUCUCGUCGUCAGCAUCACCAUUUGCAAAUGCAAGAUCGUCUCAAUUGGUUAGGAGUGUUUGCAAGCAAACUCAAGAACAAUUCAGCUACAACUAUAGGCAGUGCCUAAAAUCUCUUUGGAAAAAUAUUCCAAUUAGAUCGGCAACUAAUCUAAAGCUCUUGACAUAGUCGUUCUUAAAUUAGCAGUAGCAAAUGCAGCACAAACCAAAGCUACGUUUGAAAAAGCUUUCAAUGUUAGACUUCAUGUGAAUGACAAUGAGAUAACAACUAGGUUUCUUGAAUCACGCGUAAAUUCGUUAUGCGAGUUGUGUGGUUGAAGGAGUCUGAGAUCCUUGAUAUAAUAGGAGUUAUGGAGUUUAAUUGUUGUGUAGCCAAAUUAACAGUAGUACUUGUAGGGUAAUCACUAAGAUAUAAGAGUCACGAUGGGACUUGAACUUGCUAUGAGGAUAGAGUUUAUCACCACUGCUGAUAAUUGGCCGAUAUGUGUGGAACUCUAAGAGGAUAAUUUGGUAUAUAUAUACAUAUUGGAAAAGUCCCUGCUUCCACACAAAAAAGACUCUCGGGAACUAAACCCUAUUUACUAGUAGAGGUCAUCACUGUGUGCUGGAAAUAGAAGACCGAUUCACUAGUUCAUUCAAUGGCAGCAACAUCAGGUAUGUCGCUCUUGCAGAUUAUAUAUAGGGUUGUGUAUUGAGGUUGUUCAUGGAUGUAGUCCUAUCACUACACUGAUUGAGUUGGUGGUUAGUAUGUUUAUGUUAAUGCUAACAUGUGGUAUCAAAGCCACUCAACGUGGCUAGGGUUCUUCAUUCCCGUUAAGGACUAUGAUAUAGUUUUGAUAAAUACAAAACCAAAUAUAAUCCUGGAAAAAUAUCGCUUCCGCUAUAUGUUCUUGCGUUAUCAACUUGAGACUUACCUAUCAAUUAAAAUAUGAUGACAAGCUACUUGGUGUUUCUCGAGUUGUGUUUGCUAUGUUUUGCAGGAAACCUAUUUCAUGUAGGUGAGGACAACGCUGAAAAAACCAGCAAUAACAGAAGACCUUUUGGAUUCAUAAUAUGCUUGUCAAUACUAAACUGACAAAUAUAAUAUGAAUCAUAAACAAGGAUUACAACAUCUAAUCUGCUCAAAAGUGUUUAGAUUGUUGUUGUUUUGGCUUGUUGACCAACUGAUUGGAUACGUGGUUUAUUCGUAUUAAGUGAAUAAUAAUCUGCUCAAAAGUGUUUAUUUAUUCAAGUCAAACAAGUAAAUCAAUGUAUAAUGAGUCAUCAAAUUGACAAGAUUACACUCUUCAUCUGCUCGAAAGUGUUGAAGUUGUGUAAAUUGCCCUUGUGUUUAAUGACUCAUUUAUACAAAUCUAAUAUAAAUGGUUUCUGUCUAAAGAUGAUACCAUGUUUAUAUGACUUUGGAUGGGGAAAUAUUGUAACAAUAGUUUUCCUUGUUUGAUAAAUUAGCUGCUGAAUAAUAUUGUUUUUGUGAUAUUCAUCAGCUCCUCACAUGACGUCUCUCAACUUCAACAAUAUAAAGACCUUGACUGGCUCCAACUUCAAGAAAUGGAAGGAGGAUGUUGAGAUUGUGCUCGGUCUCAUGGAUCUUGAUCUGGCACUAAGGGAAGAAAAAACCUCAAGCUAUCACUACCGAGAGUAUUGCAGAUGAAAAAUUAAGUCUAAAAUAUGGGAGAGGGUGAGUCGAAUGUCCAUGAUGAUCAUGAAGAAAGCAAUGGCUCAAUCGGUUAAAGGGGGAAUUCCUAAGACCGACAAUGCAAGGGAAUUCUUGGCUGCAGUAGGAUAGAAGUUCAAGGAGUUAGAAAAGGCAGAAACUGGGACCUUCCUUACACAAAUCACAUCAAUGAAGUACGAUGGUGUGGGAAGUGUCAAAAAGAACAUAUUGAAGAUGGUUGAUCUUGCUCAGAAACUGAAGGAUCUUGAGGUACCUAUGACCAACCAAUUUUUAGUCCACAUGGCUUUGAAUUCCCUACCUCCUAAAUAUGGGCAGCUCAAAGUCUCGUACAACACUCAAAACGAUAAAUGGGGUAUCGAUGAAUUGAUUUCAAUGUGUGCUCAAGAAGAUGAUCGACUCAAAAAGGACAAGGCAAUGGAUGUGAAUGUUGUGCAAGCGAAAAAACGCAAAAGGGACUCUACUUUUGGUUCAACCAUACCUGCUAGUAAGAAGAAGAAGAAAGAAAACUUUUCUUCAUUUAAAAGUACUAACCCCUUUAAAGGAUCUCACAAAAUUAAGCUUGUUAAUGCCGAGAUUGAGAAAGAAAAUGAAUGUUAUUUUCAUAAAGAGACAGGUCACUUAAGAAAGAAUUGCACAGGAUUAAAAAAAAAAUUGGCUUGUCACUAAAGGUAAUAUCAUAAACGUUUUUGUAUGUGUUGAGUCGAAUUUAGUUUUUUAUUCCCCCUCAAAGUUGGUGGUUUGAUACUGGCUGCUCCACUCACAUAACUAAUUCUUUGCAGGGAUUCUCAAAAACAAGGGAGAUAAACAAUGAAGUCUACAAUGUCUAUGUAGGAAAUGGGAGCAAAGUAGUUGAUGAAUCCAUGUCGAAUUAGUUCUUUCGUCCGGUUUUGUUUUAAAAUUGAGUCUGGUACUUUAUGUACCUUCCAUGAGAAGGAAUUUGAUUUCUGCAUCUAAGUUAGUUAAGUCAGGCUUUACCUUUGUUGGUGACGAUCAUUGUGUAAAGUUUUACCAUUCGCAUGAUAUUAAUAAAUUGCUUGGAAAAGCUUUUCUUGAAAUCGAUAUGGCAACUAGACUGUUCAUAUAAAAAAAUGAAUGUUUUAGUGUUCAAGUUGUUGUUGGUUCAAAAUUAUUGUCCACUUCUGAAAUAUCCUCAAUGCUUUGGCAUAAAAGGUUGGGACACAUAUCUAAAGAAAGAAUCAUCACCUUGUCAAAACAAAACAUGUUGCGACAACUUGACUUUAGUGACUUCAAAGAAUGUGUCGAUUGUUUCAAAGGAAAACUCACCAACACUAGAAAAUUAGGUUCAAAUCGUAGUCAAUCCCUGCUAGAAAUCAUACACAUUGACAUAUGUGGACCUUUUCCAAACAAAACCAUUUAUGGAAAAUCUUAUCUUAUUCCAUAUCCUUCAUUGAUGAUUUUUCACGUUAUGCAUAUGUUUAUCUCAUCUCGGAAAAAUCUGAAGCUUUGGAGUGUUUUAAAUCUUUUCAUUUAGAGGUUGAAAAAAAAAAAUUAAAAUUGUGAGAUCCAAUAGAGGUGGUGAGUAUUUUGGCAGGUACACUGAGGUUGGACAACACAAGGGGCCUUUUGCAACUUAUCUUGAACAAAAUGGCGUCGUAGCACAAUAUACCACCCUGAGGACUCCUCAACAAAAUGGGGUGGUAGAAAGAAGGAAUCGUACUCUCAAGGAUAUGAUAAGGUCUAUCUUUGCACACUCACAUCUUCCUAUUUUUCUUUGGGGAGAGGCGUUGAAAACAGCAACAUAUAUCUUGAACCGAGUCCUGAGCAAGUCUUGUCAACUUGGUGCCAUUUGAAUCAUGGACUAGAAGAAAACCGAGUUUUAACCACUUCCAUGUUUGGUGAUGUAAAGCUGAGGCAAGAUUCUACAACCCAAUAGAGAAGAAACUUGAUCCAAGAACUACAAGUUGUAGGUUCAUUGGAUAUUCUGAAAGAUCAAAAGGGUUUAAGUUUUAUUGCCCUAACAGUCAUUCCAGAAUUAUGGAGACACACAAAACUAAGUUUCUCGAGCAUUUGGAUGGGGAGGAUGACAGCUCUUCACAUUUCAUAUCAUCAAAUUUUGAAGAAUUGCCACAAGAAGGUGUGUUGCUUGAGCAGCAAGCAAUUAUCAUAAGCAUUCCUUUCGAAUCACCAGCAUUUCCUUCGACCAACAGUCUCCCCGAGUAACAAAUAAAAAGAAUGAUGAAUGAACAUCAACCUCCCCAUGAUGAAGAGCACGGUUCCAACACUGCAGACAUGGAGCAUGAAGAUAUUCAUGAUCAUAUAGAUGGCAUCGAUGUCACACUGAUUCAGACACUUGUGAGAAAGUCACAGCGAGUACGCAAGGCUGUUGCACUACCAGAUUUUGUGUGUGUCUUAAUGAAGCAUAAUAUAACGUAGGGGAUGAUGAUGUUCCUACAUCUUAUAAUCAAGCAAUCUCGAGUACAAAAAUCAAGGUUAUGGAAUGAAGCCAUGCAUGAAGAAUUAUAGUCUAUGGAGAAGAAUAAAGUGUGGACCUUAGUACCAAAACCGACGGGGGUUCACAAACUCGUAGGUUGCAAGUGGGUCUUUAAGACAAAGAGAGACUCCGAGAGUAAUAUUGAUAAAUAUAAAGCGAGAUUAGUGGCAAAAGGCUUUACAUAGAGAGAAUGAGUGGAUUACAACGAGACAUUUUCUCCUGUCUCAACCAAAGACUCCAUGAGAAUAAUAUUAGCCCUCACGGCUCAUUUUGAUUUAGGGCUUCAUCAGAUAGACGUUAAAAUAGCUUUUCUUAAUGGGGAUCUUGAAAAAGACAUAUACAUGAGUCAACUACCAGGAUUUGUUGAAAGGGGGAAAGAAUUGAUGGUUUGUAAGCUGAAUAAAUCUAUUUAUGGAUUAAAAUAGGCUUCGAGGCAAUGGAACAAAAAGUUUGAUAGUGUGAUGGAGAAGUCAGAAUUUCAAGAGAACAAACUGGAUGAGUGCGUGUACUUUAAAGUAUGUGGUACCAAGGUAAUAUUCCUGGUAUUGUAUGUAGACGAUAUAUUAAUGGCAAGCUCGGAUAUGUUUCUUUUACAGUCGACCAAGUGUAUGUUAGCUCAGCAUUUCGACAUGAAGGACUUGGGAGAGGCUCAAUUUGUUUUGGGGAUAGAAAUCAUUAGAGAUUGUGCCAAGAGAUCUCUUGGCCUUUCACAAAGACAAUAUAUUAAUAAGGUGAGUAAAAGAUUUUAACAUGGAUAAAUGUUCAAAUGGAGAGCUACCUAUUGGAAAAUGAGACAAGUUAACUUGCAAACAGUGUCCCAAGAAUGAUCUGGAGAAAGAAGGAAUGAAAGACAUUGUUAGCGCCUCUAGUAGGGAGCUUGAUGUAUACACAGGUAUGUACAAGACUGGAUUUAGCCUUUGCAGUGAGUGUAUUGGGCAGGUUUCAAUCAAAUCCUAGUGUAUCUCAUUAGGUUGCAGCUAAAAAGGUCUUGAGGUAUCUCAAAAGGACCAGGGAUUUUAUGUUGACAUAUAGUCAUGUGGACAAACUUGAGUUGGUGGCAUUCUCCGAUUCUGACUUUGCAGGAUGUAUAAAUGAUAAGAGAUCGACUAAUGGAUACAUUUUCCUGCUAGCUGAUGGGGCAGUUUCGUGGAAGAGUUCAAAGCAAAAGAGUAUUGCAUCUUCCAUGAUGGAGGUUGAAUUCAUAGGGUGUUAUGUAACGACUCAACAAGCCAUUUGGCUUUAAAAUAUGAUGAAGGGACUCGUGAUUAUUGACAGUAUUGAAAGGCCUCUCAAACUUUAUUGUCAUAAUACAGCUGCAAUCUUCUUUUCGAAGAAUAAUAAAAGGUCUUAGGCGAGCAGGUUAAUGGACAUAAAGUUUUUUAAAGUGAAAGAUGAAGUGAAGAAGGAGACUAUUGAUAUUAAGUAUAUCAACACAAGUUUGAUGGUUGCUGAUCCAAUGACAAAGGCCUUACCAAUGGGAGUCUUCAAGAGGCAUGUUUUUAACAUGGGAGUAAGAGAGUCUUUUGAUUCAGUUAAUGAGUGGGAGUAAGCACUCUAAAGACUGUGUUGAACUCGUUUUGUUUAGUUAUUUCUUUUGAUAUCAGUAGCCAGUUACAAUGCAAUGCAAUGAAUUAUUUGUUGUGUUUGGCUUAUACAUUUAUGAGUAAUUAUGAGUCAUGUGUUGACAACAAUUGAAGACAUGGUGACUACCACAAGCAAAGUUGGAAGCACGCAAGACUUAACCUUAUGUUUUUCUUGCACACAAUUGUGCAUGUUUUUUCUCUUCUAUGCAUUAAAUGACAAAUGGAGAAAAGUUGUACUUUAUAGACUAGGUAUAGACUUUGGUGCAUGCUAGGUAGGUUAGGUAAUAAUUAUGUCAUGUGAACUUAAGACUUUUUGGUCUUGGUUGUUGGCAUAGUUGCUAGUGUAUCCCUAUAACUAGAUGCAAUAUUUGUGCAUUUAGUAAUGCUUAGAAAGUGGGAAUGUAAGCAUCAUAGAAGCAUCCAAGGGGAGAGCAUCCGGCUCUUACAUGGGAAAGGUUGAACAUGGGUUAAGAGAAAAUCAUGAGAGCUAGAGUGAAAAGUAUUCUAGUAAAAGAACUCUUAGGGUAGAGUGAUGCUUUUGGGAAAAUUCUAUGAGUGGGUGUGCAAGGGAUUCGGGAUUGAGUUAUGUUGAUUUAAUUCAUGUGUACUUGUACUGUUAUUCAUAGUGAAGAGCAAUAUCUCUUCGGGGACGUAGGCAUGAUUUUUACCGAACCUCGUAAAUUUCUCAGUGUCUUUAUUUCUUGUAUUUUACUUUAUUCAACUGAGUGUGAUUUGGUGAGGUUGUAAUCUGAAUCUCGUUUCCGCACUAACGAAUGGGCCAAGGCACAACAAUUGGUAUCAGAGCAUCGUUGGACGCUUGGUUCGUUGGAGGUCCAGAUUUGUUGUUCACCAUGGAAUUUUCAGUUGAGCAGUUUAAUGGGAAAGGCAGUUUUACUCUUGGUAAAAGAGAGUAAUGGAAGCCUGAAGAAAUGGAAGCCAUGUUUAGGGAUGCUUGGAUCAACUGCGAAAGUUGAUGUUGAGGAAGAAGAAAAAUGCCUCUUUCUUCUUACCUCACUUUCAAAUUCGUAUGAGAACCUUGUGAAACUUUACUGCAUGGAAAGAUACAGUAAGUUUGGAGCAGGUCCAAGCUUCUUUGGUGUGGAAUCAUACACAAAGAAGACCAUGGAUAAUGGUGGGCACGAGACUGCUUAAGCUAUUCAAGGUUGGAAUCGUGGAAGGAAAUUGGAAAGAGGAUCUGAGAGAGACAACAGGUUCAGAUCCGGUUCCGGAGGUAAGGGUCCACAGUGCUACGAUGCAAGGCCGGGUUUGUAACAAGUUUGUGGCAUAAGGCUUCGAGUAUACCCUCUAGGUACUCAAGUAACACUUCUCCUAGUAAUGUUUAGUCUCAACUGUUGCAGGGUUUUGCAGCAGGUAGAACUAUGGGAUUCAUAAGUGAUGAGAUGGUCCUGAGGUAUGAGGAAGUGUGGGAAUUUUGUCUGGCUCAAUGGGUUGUUGCUGGAAACGGGCGCGCUGACGAGUUUCCAGGUUGCAGACAAUGAAGAUGAGGAAAACCUGUUGAAGGAGACGAGGGUGUGUCGAGAUCCUAUCUGAAGCUAAAUGGUGAAUUUUAGCUUGCAGCAGCUGCACAUGCAUUGGCAGUGACUGAAUCGGAACAAGACCAACGAGGUGGAUUCAGGGUGUGUAUGCUGGUACGUAAGGCCAAUGGGCUUUGGUGAUGGGUGCAAGGAUUUUUGCAUGGUGUAUUCGCCAAGGUAGAGAUUGUUGCGUUUGGCUCAUACAUUUGUGAGUAAUUAUGAGUCAUGUGUUGACAACAAUUGAAGACAUGGUGAUUGCCACAAGCAAAGUUGGAAGCAAGCAAGACUUGACCUUGUGUUUGCUUGCACACAAUUGUGCAUGUUUUCUCUUCUAUGCAUUAAAUGAUAAAUGGAAGUUGUACUUUAUAGACUAGGUAUAAGACUUUGGUGCAUGCUAGGUAGGCUAGGUAAUAAUUAUGUCAUGAGAACUUAAGACUUUUUGGUCUUGGUUGUUGGCAUAGUUGCUAGUGUACGCCUAUAACUAGAUACAAUAUUUGUGCAUUUAGUAAUGCUUAGAAAGUGGGAUUGUAAGUAUUAUAGAAGCAUCCAAGGGGAGAGGAUCCGGCUCUUCCAUGGGAAAGGUUGAACAUGGGUUGAGAGAAUCAAGAGAGCUAGAGUGAAAAGUAUUCUAGUGAAAGAACUCUUGGAGUAGAGUGAUGCUUUUGGGAAAAUUCUAUGAGUGGGUGUGCAAGGGAUUUGGAAUUGAGUUAUGUUGAUUUAAUUCAUGUGUACUUGUACUAUUAUUCAUAGUGAAGAGCAAUAUCUCUCCGGGGACGUAGGCAGGAUUUUUGCCGAACCUCGUAAAUUUCUUGGUGUCUUUAUUUCUUGUAUUUUAUUCUAUUCAACUGAGUGUGAUUUGGUGAGGUUGUAAUAUGAAUCUCGUUUCCGCACUAACGAACGGGCCAAGGCACAACAUUAUUAUUAUUGUUUUGAUAAUCUGUGCAUUUUUUUGUCAUUCCAAACAGUUUCGGUACUGAAAGUAACUUUUCAAUUUGUUUUAAGGAACCAACUUUUUGUUUGUUGGUUCUCAACAACAUCGUAAUUCUGGUAGAAACUCAGUGUUUCAUGAUAAAUGUGCAUGUAACUAUAGAGUAUCAAGUAUAUGUUAUUCGUACUUAGGAUUUCUAUGGUUCUGCAUUUUUCUUGAAAUGAUAGGUUACUAAUUAUGGUGGCUGCAAGCUUUUGUAAACUCAAUGAUCAUCAUGAUUCUUGUUAUAUUGAGGAAUAUCAUUGACAUUCAAGUGGAAGAAUGUUAGACUUCAUGUGAAUGACAAUGAGAUAACAACUACGUUUCUUGAAUCACACGUAAAUUCAUUGUACGAAUUGUGUGGUUGAAGGAGUCUGAGAUCCUUGAUAUAAUAGGAGUUGUGGAGUUUAGUUGUUGUGUAGCCAAAUUAACAGGAGUACUUGUAGGGUAUUCACUAAGAUAUAAGAGUCACGAUGGGACUUGAACUUGCUAUGAGGAUAGAGUAUAUCACCACUGUUGAUAAUAGGCCGGUAUGUGUUAUGAGAGGAUAAUUUGGUGUGUGUGUGUGUGUGUAUAUAUAUAUAUACAUAUUGGAAAAGUCCCUACUUCCACACAAAAAAGACUCUCGAGAACUAAACCCUAUUUACUAGUAGAGGUCAUCAUUGUGUGCUGGAAGUAGAAGACUGAUAACAUCAGGUAAGUCGCUCUUGCAGAUUAUAUAUAGGGUUGUGUAUUGAGGUUGUUCAUGGAUGUAGUCCUAUCACUACGUUGAUCGAGUUGGUGGUUGGUAUGUUUAUGUUAAUGCUAACAUUCAACGCCACAGACAAGAAUGCUAAUGGCACGACAGCUAUAAAGCAGUGUGUAGAUUCGUAUGAUAUUGCUAUAGGAGCGUUCGUUUUCGUAGUGCAAGGGGUCAAUAACGGUGACAAAUCGGUCACCGAAAUCCUCACACAGGCCCAAGAUGACCUUGUUCGUUGCCCAAGAGCAUUGGCCUCUGUUGAAGUUCUGCUUCCUAUGCCAGUAUCGACGACGAACUUUUGGGUCAUGUUAUAUAGGGAUGUUGCAUUCCUUGUUACUUCCCAGUUAUUCAAUAUCUAGAAAAUAUGAGAACAGUGUUUUAAAAUUUGAACAUUUAUGCGUACAAAAGAAAUGUAUAUGUGAUUACUAUAAAUAAAAAGGAUAGAAAUUUGAAGAAAUGAUUUUGAUAUGAAUAACGAAUAUUGGCCGUUUACUAUCAUUGUUUUGUUCCUCUUUAGUUUGGAUUUCUUAUCAUGCAUUCACUUUACUAUGCAUUGACUUUAACGAAGAUGAAAUUAUGGUAUAUGUAUUUUCAUUAAAACUUAACAUCCCCGUAUCAGUCCAAAUACAAGCUCUAACUUAUUUCAUUCACCAUUCUAUUCAUCCAACUUGUGUUUCUUUAUUCAAUGGGUGGGGAGAUUUGAACUUGAAACCUUUUUAAGCAUUUGGAAAGACAACAACUAAUGCGCAUCCAAUUUUUUCUUCUAUGCACACAUGUCUAUCUUAUAGCCCACUUAGUUUUAUGACCUUUCCUUAGACAAUCCAAAAUAAUUCAAUAGUCUUCUAAGACUGCCUCCUUUGACUAAUGACAUUCUUUUCAAGAAAGCAAAAUCCUCGAUCAUCAUAUGAUUACGAAGAGAUUGCUCGAGUCGCUCUUGAGUUAGCAGCAACGAAUACAAAAGAUAGGCACAUCUUUAUUUUUUUUUUUGAAGGAUAAUAGGCACAUCUUUAUAAACAUUUCAUCAAGAGGGAUUCGAGGGAGCCUAUUUAACAAUAUCAGUUUUGGUACCGCGCGGUGCGGGUUUUAUUCUAGUGCAUACAUGAGGACAAGGAUAGGCCUGGGCCUCUGCAUCAUUUUCUUUAUUUUGUAUGCUUUAGCUUGAGUUUGUUAUUCUUUAAUUUCUGUUUGUGUGCUUUCCAUUGAGCACGAUGUAGUUAAAUCACCAGUUUGCAUGCAUAGUGUUGUUUAAAAUGUUUAUAUUGAAAAAAAAAAUUCACAUUUGCAUUUUUGAGCCAUGAUCUAUAAUGCUUGUUCAACUUCGACGUAGUAAUUGUUCCUUUUUAGCAAAACUUUUGAACAAGUUCAGUGCUUAUACCUUAUUGUCUUGGUGUUAAAUUAUUAUUUUUGUGACUUCGUUGCUCUCCUUUGAUUCAAAUUUCCAUUCCUACACAAAAGUUAACCCUCAAAUCUUCUCUCAUUGAUCAUAUUAUUUUUAAUCUAAUUUUUGUCACAUGGCCUGGAGGAUCCUCCUAACUUCGAUUUUUGGUUCAGCCACUGCUUCAUUAAAUAACUAAAUAUGAAGACAAACUACGAGCAUCCUGUGACUAGGCCUGGCAAACGGGUCGUGUCAGUCGUGUUCGUGUCGUUUUCGUGUAACACCUGUUAGCUUAACGGGUCGUGUCGUGUCACACCCGUUAUCUUAACGGGUCCUUGGGUAAAGUGACCCGACCCGUUAUGACCCGUUAAGAAAAAUAUAUUUUUUUUCUUAAAUUUGCACAUACCACACAUUGCCACAUAAAUAUUACUUCAAAAUAUUAAAACACAUUUGUCGUUUAAGUACUACAUAUACACUCGAAAAUAAGAGCCUAAUAAAAAAAUAAUACAUACACUACUAAUCUAUUACAAAUUUUAAAUGUGCAAGGAUAUGCAAAAUGAAACAGUUUUUGUUUUCAAGGUUGUGAAAUCUUUCUCAAAAGUUUAAACCUCAAUUUACAAAAUCCUCGAUUUACAUCGAUCAUCAUGAAAUUGCAUUGGAACUUUGGCUUGAUCUAUUGCCUUCAAGAGUUAUGUUGAUGAUGUUUUCAGUAAGGUUUUCCACGUCAUAACUAUCUUCUGCAUAAACUAAGCAUAGAAAAACCAAAACAUUAAAAAUCAUUCAAAAUUAUGAGAAGUUUACCAAAAUAAUUAUGAAAAAAAAAUAAAACAAUAGUACUAUACCAUACUUUUAUUAAGUAUAAACAUAAGAUUUUGUGGUAUCCACUAGUGUAAAUAUUUUAAAUUGAAGAUCGAAUUCAAUCAUUGUAUUCAUAUAAGGUCAAGGAGUGUAGUUAUAAAAAAUCAUCAAAAUCGGAGUUAAAUUAAUAGUUAAAUCGUGAUUUUUCGUUUAUAACCGUUGAAAAGUUUUGUCUCGUUACGUGCUCUCUGAAUGUUUGUUUGUUGCAAUUUUUGGCGUAUGAGAUCUUGAAAUAUAUACAAACAUGUUUGAUGGUUGGAUCAUUGAAACUAGUUUCGUAGAAUGAGUAUCAUAUCAAAACAAUAGAUUCACUAAUACUUAAGAGUUUAUUCAUACUUUUAUUAAGUAUAACAUAAGAUUUUGUGGUUUCCACUAGUGUAAAUAUUUUAAAUUGAAGAUCGAAUUCAAUCACUGUAUUCAUAUAGGGUCAAGGAGUGUAGUUGUAAAAAAUCAUCAAAAUCGGAGUUAAAAUGACCGUUAAAUCGUGAUUUUUCGUUUAUAACCGUCGAAAAGUUUUGUCCCAUUACUUGAUCUCUGAAUGUUUGUUUUUAGCAAUUUUUGGCGUAUGCAAUCUCGAAGUGUAUAUAAACAUGUUUGACGGUUGGAUCAUUAAAACUAGUUUCGUAGAAUGAGUAUCCCAUCAAAACAAUAGAUUCACUAAUACUUAAUAGUUUAUUCAUACUUUUAUUAAGUAUAGUAUAUAAGAUUUUGUGGUAUCCACUAGUGUAAAUAUUUUAAAUUGAAGAUCGAAUUCAAAUCAUUGUAUUCAUAUAGGGUCAAGGAGUGUGGUUGUAAAAAAACAUCAAAAAUCGGAGUUAAAAUGACCGUUAAAUCGUGAUUUUUCGUUUAUAACCGUCGAAAAGUUUUUGUCCCGUUACUUGAUCUCUAAAUGUUUGUUUUUUGUAAUUUUUGACGUAUGCGAUCUUGAAGUAUAUACAAACAUGUUUGACGGUUAGAUCUUUGAAACUAGUUUCGUAGAAUGAGUAUCCCAUCAAAACAAUAGAUUCACUAAUACGUAAUAGUUUAUUCAUACUUUUAUUAAGUAUAAUAUAAGAUUUUGUGGUUUCCACUAGUGUAAAUAUUUUUAAAUUGAAGAUCGAAUUCAAUCAUUGUAUUCAUAUAAGGUCAAGGAGUGUAGCUGCAAAAAAAUCAUCAAAAAUCAGAGUUAAAAUGACCGUUAAAUCGUGAUUUUUCUUUUUACAACCGUCGAAAAUUUUUGUCCCGUUAAUUGAUCUCGAAAUGUUUGUUUUUUGUAAUUUUUGACGUAUGCGAUCUCGAAGUAUAGACAAACAUGUUUGACGGUUGGAUCUUUGAAACUAGUUUCGUAGAAUGAGUAUCCCAUCAAAACAAUAUAUUCACUAAUACUUAAUAGUUUAUUCAUACUUUUAUUAAGUAUAACAUAAGAUUUUGUGGUAUCCACUAGUGUAAAUAUUUUAAAUUGAAGAUCGAAUUCAAUCAUUGUAUUCAUAUAGGGUCAAGGAGUGUGGUUGUAAAAAAUCAUCAAAAUCGGAGUUAAAAUGACCGUUAAAUCGUGAUUUUUCGUUUAUAACCGUCAAAAAGUUUUGUCCCGUUACUUGCUCUCUGAAUGUUUGUUUUUUUAAUUUUUAGCGUAUGCGAUCUCGAAGUAUAUACAAACAUGUUUGACGGUUGGAUCGUUGAAAUUAGUUUCGUAUAAUUCGUAUCCCAUGAAGUUCAAUGGUGUGUGUGUGUAUAUAUAUAUUUAUUUAUUAAGUAGAUUUAAAUCUAUUUGUUUUGUAUGUAUAAUUAUUAAAGUUUUUAGGGGUAUAAAAUUUAAUAUAUAUAUAUAUAUAUAUAAUUAUUAUAGUUAAUAUUUUGGGUAUAAUUAUUAUAGUAUAUAUAAUUAUUAUAAUUAUUAUAGUUAAUUUAAUAUAUAUAUAUAUAUAUAAUUAUUAUAGUAUUUUCUUAGGGUUAUAAAUUAUUAAAUUAAUAUUCUGCUUAUCGUGUAUCGUGUUACCCACGUGUAUACCCGAACAAACCCGUUAUCUUAACAGGUGCUUAUCGGGUUACCCAAUAACGACCUGUUUCGUUAUCGUGUCGACCCGAACACCUGUUAAUUUCGUGUCGUGUCGUGUCGGGUUAUCGGGUCGUGUCAGGAAUUGCCAGGCCUACCUGUGACGACCAAAUUUAAAGUCAAAAUUGCGGACGAUGGUGCGAGUAACAAUCACUGCGUUGAGAUCUAGAGAGGUUAAAUUACACGAUAUAUGUACCAAAAACCACAAUGUCCAAUUGUAUUGUUAGGAUUGGAAUUGUAGAAACCAUGAAGUCCAGCUUCUGUUGUUUUUUAGUUCAAACAAAAAUCACUAGAAGAAUUGGUUAAAGCAAGUAAUUUCCUUCCAACGGUUUAUUACGUAACAGAAAAACAAAAACAAAAGGUACAGCAGACUGGACUCCUAAAUUUAGACCUAUACCCUUCUUGGGUUGCUUAUAUAUAUCAUACUCUAUGCAUUAAUUUCUUAACCCCAAGCAAAUAAUUUGUAAUCACGUUAGCUUCAAUUUAAAAACAUACAUCUUGAGCAAUGGCCACCUCAAUCAGUUAUGCAGUAUUCAUUGCUUCCUUGCUCUUAUGUCUCUCGUCGUCUCCAGCACCAUUUGCAAAUGCAAGAGCAUCUCAAUUAGUUAGGAGUGUUUGCAAGCAAACCCAAGAACAAUUCAGCUACAACUAUAGGCAGUGCGUAAAAUCUCUUUGGAAAGAUAUUCCAAUUAGAUCGGCAACUAAUCUCAAAGAUCUUGACAUAGCCGUUCUUAAAUUAGCAGCAGCAAAUGCAGCACAAACCAAAGCUACGUUUGAAAAAGCUUUAAACACCACCGACAAGAAUGCUAAUGGCAC
rnacentral:lncRNA from 1 species